GAUAUCGAGGUAAUAAAAAACCAUAUAAUUCUAGUAAUACGGUCUAGAAGUUUCUACAAGUUACCCGUAAAGUAACUUACUUUGGCAAAUGAAUCUUAUUAU
rnacentral:ncRNA from 1 species